rnacentral:rRNA from 1 species
CCCUUAGAUGUUCUGGGCCGCACGCGCGCUACACUGACGAAGUCAGCGAGCAUGUCCUACGCCGACAGGUGCGGGGAAUCUUGUCAAACUUCGUCGUGAUGGGGAUUGGUUAUUGAAAUUCUUGAUCAUCAACGAGGAAUUCCUAGUAAGCGCAAGUCAGCAGCUUGCGUUGAUUACGUCCCUGCCCUUUGUACACACCGCCCGUCGCUACUACCGAUUGAAUGGUUUAGUGAGAUCUUCGGAUUGGCGCCACUGCGGCUCAGCAAUGGGCUCGGUGGAUGCCGAAAAGUUGAUCAAACUUGAUCAUUUAGAGGAAGUAAAAGUCGUAACA